AUAAAUUUCAUAAAAUUUUCUACACUAAAUUUAUUAUGAAAUAAAAAAUUGAAAAACACCCGUAAAAUAUUAUUAUAUGUUCAACAUGAUAUAAAAAGAUGUAUUUAAUAAAAAUGGGCCGUGUAUUUCAUGUGACUUUUAUUUGAUAUGUGACCUUUUUAAAAAAAAAAAAUCAGUUUAGUCAAGCGAAUAAAAAAAACGACAACUUCACCUUCUCCCCUUCUCUUAACAACUGUAUCUAGAUGAAGAAAGAAGAACAAUCGAUCGGAGGCUGAUACAAAUGGAACACAUACCAAGCAGAACUACAAUGAUCCCGAUCCAAUGAAACAAAGGGUAUCGAAGGACAAACCGUUUAAUAGGAGCAUCUAAAGGUAUGUCUUCAUUCUUAUUUAUGAACUCUUAAGUUUUGUUCAAUCGAUAAACAUAUCUUGAUAUAUCCUUCACAUGCAUGUCCAAAUCAACUUCAUAAUACAACUAUACUUAAAUCAUAUGAAUCGGAUAGAAAACAAAAAUGAAGCUGAAGCGUUGGUGAAAGAUAAUUUUGGUAAGAAGCAGCCCACCUGAGAUUUGUUCUGGAUAUCCUGUUCAAGUCCUCUUUCUGUUUCUUUGAGCUUCUCAUCUGGUAAAACUCUCUUUCUUGCAUUGGAUUUGUUUUACACGUGAAGAUACUCAUCGUAAUCGAUCAUUUCAUUCAUCAUUCUUGUUAUUGUCUGUCAGAAUAGAACAAUAAUUACAAUUGUAAAAUGAUGAAAGAUAUUAGUAACAGUCGAUACAAAACCUCAGAAUACACAUAUAACUCUUGUACUAA